rnacentral:rRNA from 1 species
UACGUAGGCAGCGAGCGUUGUUCGGAGUUACUGGGCGUAAAGGGUGUGUAGGCGGUUUUCUAAGUUUGGUGUGAAAUCUCCCGGCUUAACCGGGAGGGUGCGCCGAAAACUGGGAGACUAGAGUGCGGGAUGGGAGAGUAGAAUUCCUGGUGUAGCGGUGAAAUGCGUAGAUAUCUGGAGGAACACCGGUGGCGAAGGCGGCAUCCUGGACCGACACUGACGCUGAGGAGCGAAAGCCAGGGGAGCAAACGGG